CGGCGUGACGGGUGAGUAAUGCCUAGGAAUCUGCCUGGUAGUGGGGGACGAACGUUUCGAAAGGAACGCUAAUACCGCAUACGUCCUACGGGAGAAAGCAGGGACCUUCGGGCCUUGCGCUAUCAGAUGAGCCUAGGUCGGAUUAGCUAGUUGGUGAGGUAAUGGCUCACCAAGGCGACGAUCCGUAACUGGUCUGAGAGGAUGAUCAGUCACACUGGAACUGAGACACGGUCCAGACUCCUACGGGAGGCAGCAGGG
rnacentral:rRNA from 1 species